GGAAACCGUGACAAGGGAACUCUGAGUGCCCGUAAAAUCGGGCUGUCCAUCGGUUUAAAUAACCGGUGAAGAAAGGGCCGGGCAAGACCGGUGCCAGCCGCCGCGGUAAUACCGGCGGCUCGAGUGGUGGCCACUAUUACUGGGCUUAAAGCGUUCGUAGCUGGUCUGUUAAGUCUCUGGGGAAAUCUUCCGGCUUAACCGGAAGGCGUCUCAGGGAUACUGGCAGACUAGGGACCGGGAGAGGUGAGAGGUACUCCAGGGGUAGGAGUGAAAUCCUGUAAUCCUUGGGGGACCACCUGUGGCGAAGGCGUCUCACCAGAACGGCUCCGACAGUGAGGGACGAAAGCUGGGGGAGCAAACCGGAUUAGAUACCCGGGUAGUCCCAGCUGUAAACGAUGCGCGUUAGGUGUAUCGGUGACCACGAGUCACCGAGGUGCCGAAGAGAAAUCGUGAAACGUGCCGCCUGGGAAGUACGGUCGCAAGGCUGAAACUUGAAGGAAUUGGCGGGGGAGCAC
rnacentral:rRNA from 1 species